CCCGCACAAGCAGUGGAACAUGUGGUUCAAUUCGACGCUACGCGAAGAACCUCACCAGGGUUUGACAUAUAGGUAGUAGGAACCUGAAAGGGAGACGACUCGUUAAGCCGAGUGCCUAUACAGGUGUUGCAUGGCUGUCGUCAGCUCGUGCCGUGAGGUGUUGGGUUAAGUCCCGCAACGAGCGCAACCAUCAUCCUUAGUUGCUACCGAGGGGAUCCGAAAGGGUCCUGGCGAGCACUCUAAGGAGACUGCCCGUGAUAAACGGGAGGAAGGUGGAGAUGACGUCAAGUCCGUAUGGCCCUUAUACCCUGGGCUACACACGUGCUACAAUGGCCGGUACAAAGGGGCGCAAGACCGCGAGGUGGAGCAAAUCCCAAAAACCGGUCUCAGUUCGGAUUGGAGUCUGCAACUCGACUCCAUGAAGUUGGAAUCGCUAGUAAUCGCGUAUCAGCAUGACGCGGUGAAUACGUUCCCGGGCCUU
rnacentral:rRNA from 1 species